ACAACUACCAUCAUGUUCACUUGUGUGCUUUUACUCCUGACUUUUACUCAAGGUAACAGAGCUAAAGAUGUCAUCACCCCAUACAGUGAAGCAGCAUUUGCCACUGAGACUGAGAGUGUGAAACUCUCUUGUAACUACACUGGUUCUGUUGAGAGUCUUCACUGGUAUCUGCAACAUGCAGGUUCACCACCACAGUUCCUCAUUCUGGAUUACUAUGGAACAACUACUCGUGCGAAUCCUGGAAUAUCCAUCAGUCACAGAAAAGAAGAGAACAGUGUGGAUCUGAUCAUCUCCUCUGCUGCUGUAUCAGACUCUGCUCUCUACUACUGUGCUCUGCAGCCCACAGUCACAGGAAACACUCUACACACCAUACAAGAACCUGACUGGCUCUAUAAAUUAGAUGUCAAAAACAGCAAGUAGUAUCCACACUGAAGAAUGUUACAUUCAAAUUCAUAUUUAACUAUACAUU